UAGCAGUAGCUAACUUGCAUCUAAAACAAAACCCAAGUUCAUCCUGGUGGCUGCUAGAUGUAUUUAUACAUGGGCAACAGCAAGGAGGCGUGGGAGGGUGUAAACCCUAAGCUGGAAAGGGCCCCUAGUGGGCUGCACGAGAUAUAAGGGUUUCAGCCCAAGACUGGAAGGCCGAACGUCUCUUUAUCAAUUCUGCUCAGCUCCGGUGGAAUUUCGUCAUGAGGUUGGAUCCAUCUGAAAGUGAACUUUAAGAUCUUUCCAAUGAGUACUCAUAUGCCUCAAACAACAUCCGGAGUUGAGAAAUAUUGCCACGUCAAUUUGAUGUUGCCUGACUGUACGAACUUGAAGUCUAAACUUGAUGUCCGAUCUUGUGCUUUCUUAUUGUGUGAUCUUGAUGCCCAAACUGAUUGGUUGAUCCAUUAGGCUCCUCUCCAUCAUUCCUAAUAAUAAUAAAAUCAUCACAAUGACUUAGUAGCAUCCAAUUCUAAGAUGAGGGUUCAUGGACAGCGAGGAAUGAGUUAACCUGAUAAUUUAGCUCUCGUGCACGGGCUCUUGUCAUUGGUCCUUGCUGCAUAGUAGUCGUGGUUGUAUCAUUGGAAGGGAUGUCCUCAUCAUCCUCCCCUUCUUGCAUGUGAGUCGUCCUCGACUCAAGUUCAUCUUCCUCGCCCAAAUAUGGUUUCAAAUCUGCAAUGUUAAAUGUGGGGCUGACCCCAAAAUCUGUAGGCAACUCAAGUUUGUAGGCAUUAUCAUUGAUCUUAGCUACAACUUUAAAAGGACCAGCAACUCUCGGAAGCAACUUUGACUUUCUCAAAUCAGGAAACCGAUCCUUUCUCAAGUGCAGCCAAACCAAAUCACCCGGUUUGAAAGUAACAUGCUUCUUUCCUAAGCUACCAGCAAGUUUAUAUUUAGCAUUCAUGUUCUCAAUGUUCUCUUUUGUGGUCUCAUGUAUUUUUAACAUCAACUCAGCACGUUGUUUAGCAUCAAAAUUCAAUCUCUCAGAAGUUGGUAAAGGCAGCAAAUCAAUAGGGGCACGAGGCACAAAACCAUAAACAAUCUCAAAAGGGCUCUUUUUAGUAGUAGAGUGUUGUGAACGAUUGUAAGCAAACUCAACAUGAGGCAAACAUUCUUCCCACAAUUUUAUGUUCUUUUUCAAAACUGCCCUAAGCAUGGUAGAUAAAGUUCUAUUCACAACCUCGGUUUGUCCAUCAGUUUGGGGAUGACAAGUAGUGGAAAAAAGCAACUUAGUACCCAAUUUAGCCCACAAAGUUCUCCAAAAAUGACUAAGAAAUUUUGCAUCACGAUCUGAAACAAUUGUGUUUGGUACACCAUGCAAACGAACAAUCUCACGAAAGAACAAUUCAGCAACAUGAGUAGCGUCAUCGGUCUUAUGACAUGGUAUAAAAUGUGCCAUCUUAGAAAAUCUAUCCACAACCACAAAGACACUAUCCCUCCCCUUCUUUGUUCUAGGCAGUCCUAAAACGAAAUCCAUAGAAAUAUCCUCCCAUGGUGCAUUAGGAACAGUUAGAGGCAUGUACAAUCCAUGAGGAUUAAGGCGUGACUUAGCUUUUUGGCAUGUUGCGCAGCGAGCAAUGAAUCUCUCCACAUCCCUCCUCAUCUUGGGCCAAAAGAAAUGAUCAGCAAGGAUGCUUUCCGUCUUCUUUGCACCAAAGUGUCCCAUCAGCCCUCCUCCAUGCGCCUCCUGCAAUAAUAACAUACGCACGGAGCUAGCUGGAAUGCAUAGCUUGUUAGCUCGAAAUACAAAUUCGUCAUUGAGGACGAAUUUGUUCCAUGUCUUUCCCUCCUUGCAAUUCAGCAACACAUCUUUAAAAUCACCAUCAUGGGCAUAUCGCUCUUUUAUUGUUUCCAAGCCAAAAAUUUUGAAAUCAAGUUGUGAAAGCAUGGUAUAACGUCUAGACAAAGCAUCAGCAAUUACAUUUUCCUUCCCUUUCUUGUGUUUGAUGACAUAAGGAAAGGACUCAAUGAAUUCAACCCAGCGAGCAUGCCUACGGUUCAGUUUUGCUUGACUUCGAAUAUGCUUCAAUGAUUCAUGAUCAGAAUGUAUAACAAACUCUUUGGGCCAUAAAUAAUGCUGCCAUGUUUCUAAAGUCCGAACUAGAGCAAGCAAUUCUUUAUCAUAAGUAGAAUAGUUCAAACUAGGCCCACUCAACUUCUCGCUGAAAUAUGCUACAGGUUUUCCUUCUUGUAACAAAACACCUCCCAAACCAAUUCCACUAGCAUCACAUUCAAGUUCAAAAGUUUUAGUGAAAUCAGGGAGUUGGAGUAAAGGGGCAUGGGUUAACUUAUCUUUCAAUGUGUCAAAAGCACUCUUGUGUGCUGCAGCCCAAGUGAAUGUAACGCCCUUCUUGGUGAGUUCGUGCAAUGGGGCUGCAAUGGUGCUGAAAUCCCUCACAAAACGGCGAUAAAAUCCAGCAAGCCCGAGAAAGCUUCUCACUUGUGUGACCGUUGUGGGAACCGGCCAGCUAUGUAUUGCUUCAACCUUGGCUUGAUCAACUUCAAUUCCGUGUGGGGUCACAACAUAGCCAAGAAAAGAGACUCGAUCCGUGCAAAAGGUGCACUUCUCAAGGUUACCAAACAAACGUGCAUCACGUAGAGCAUUAAAAACAUCACGCAAAUGAUCAAGAUGUUCCUCAAGUGAUCUACUGUAUAUCAAGAUGUCAUCAAAAUAUACCACAACAAAUCUGCAAAUGAAAGCGCGUAAAACUUCAUUCAUUAGUCUCAUGAAAGUGUUGGGUGCAUUAGUGAGACCAAAAGGCAUAACUAACCACUUGUAUAGACCGAAUUUAGUUUUAAACGCUGUUUUCCAUUCAUCUCCUAGCUUCAUGUGAAUCUGGUGGUAACCACUACGCAAAUCAAUUUUUGAGAACACAAUGGAGCCACUUAAUUCAUCAAGCAUAUCAUCUAGCCUAGGAAUAGGAUGACGAUAUCUGAUUGUAAUGUUAUUAAUCGCUCGGCAAUCUACACACAUGUGCCAUGAUCCAUCUUUCUUAGGAACCAAAAGAACAGGAACAGUGCAAGGGCUAAGAGACUCACGCACAUAACCUUUAUCGAGCAAUUCUUGCACUUGGCGCUGAAUCUCUUUAGUUCCUCGGGGUUGGUCCUGUAUGGCGCACGGUUGGGCAAUGAGGCUCCGGGAAUAAGGUCAAUCUGGUGCUCAAUCCCACGGGUUGGUGGCAGCCCUGGUGGCACCUCAUUUGGAAAAAUGUCCGUAUACUCCUGCAAAAGGUUAGUAACUGCAUGAGGCAAAGAAGAAGGUAUCUCCUGAAGUGAAAACAAAGUUUGUUUGCAAAUCAAAGCAUAGCAAACAGCAGUAUUAGCAUCAAUCUCAUCCAAAUCAGAUUUGGUUGCAAUGAAACAUGACCCUUUCAGCUUGAUCUCAUUUUUAUUAUUGUGGGCAGAUUUAGUGUUCUUCUUUGUGUGCUUUUUAAGUUCAUGUGCUACAAUCUGAUUUUCACUCUUAGCAUGCUCCUAAUUCAUUAGUUUACUAGCUCUAGCAAGUUCAUCUUUCAAAAUAGCUUCAGGAGACAUUGGAUGCAAAACAAGUUUCUUGUCAUUAUGCAUAAAAGAGUAUUGAUUUGUUUUACCAUGAUGCAAAGAAUCAAUGUCAAAUUGCCAUGGUCGUCCUAACAACAUAGAGCAUGCUUGCAUGGGUACAACAUCACAGUCAAUAGAAUCAUGAUAAGAACCAAUAGCAAAAUUAACUCUCACCAACCGUGUUACCUUCACCUUACCGCUGCUAUUUAGCCAUUGAAUGUAGUAAGGUUGUGGAUGUGGCUGGGUGCACAAUGCAAGCUUCUCCACCAUUUCAGCACUUGCCAAGUUGUUGCAGCUCCCUCCAUCAAUGAUGACUCGGCAAGAACGCUCCUUGAUCACACACUUGGUUUGAAACAAAGUGUGGCGCUGAUUUUGUUCAGCCUUCUCCAUUUGUGCACUCAACACUCGCUGCACCACAAGGCUCUCAUAGUUUUCAGCAUGUUCCGUUCCAAUGUGCUCCUCAUUUUUGUUGUGCUCCUCAUCUUCCCCUACAUUGUUAGCUGCAAGCAAAGCAUAUGUUUCUUCAUCUAAAUCACUAGCAGAGGAAUACUCACCAUUAGGACGCACAACUAGCACGCGUGCGCUUGGGCAGUCCUUGCGCACAUGACCGUAACCUUUGCAGCGGAGGCAUUGAAUGUCUCUGAUUCGCCCUGAGGAUGCAAUUGAGGAUGAACUCUUGGUUGGUGCAGCAGCUGCCCCCUUUGUGGGUUCAGGAGGGCAUGGUGAGGAGUUCGUUAUCAAAGGUCGUGGUUUGCUACUUGAUGAAGAUGGGGCAGCGACUCGGUACAGUUGGGCAGCGGGGUUGGAUGGCGUCCAAGAGGUAGCACGACCUGCAGAAAUGUUAGUUCUCGUGCUAGCUCUCCGUCCCUGUACUUCCCUUUCAGCUUUACAAGCAAGAUGAAAUAAACGAGUGAUCGAAUUGUAUUCUUUGUAAGCCAAAAUAUCCUGAAUUUCCCGAUUCAGCCCACCCAUAAACCUAGCCAUAGCUGCAUCCUCAUUUUCUACCAAACCACAACGAAGCAUCCCUGUUUGCAACUCUUGAUAGUACUCUUCUACAGAUUUAUUUCCCUGUCUCAAAAGCUGAAGCUUAUGCAAAAGAUCACGUGCAUGAUAAGAGGGAACAAAUCUAGCUCGCAUAACUCUUUUCAUAGCAUCCCAAGUUUGUGGAGUGUUGUUUGGGUGGCUGCGCACAUAUUCGCUCCACCAAAUAGAAGCAAAAUCAGUAAACUCACUAGUAGCAGCCCUAAUAUGUUUGUUUUUAGGAAAAUCAUGACAUGCAAAUUUUUGAUCAACAGCUAGCUCCCAAGUGAGAUAUGCAUUGGGGUCAUAUUUUCCAUCAAAAGAGGGCAUGCUAAAUUUAAUCUUCCCUAAAGAAUCAUCAUUGUCGCGUACCUCACGUCGUGGUUGACGAGCAUGUCCACCAUGUCGACGGCGGCGCUGCUGCUGGUUAUGUUGGCCAUUUACCUCCCCAUCAAGCUCCGUGUCAGCUGAAUAUUCUUCCUCAUCUUGCCCAGCAAUGCUACCCUCAGUGUUGUUGUUGUUGCGCCGUCCUGAACCAUCACGACCCUCCUGGUCCAUCCUAUCCAAACGUGCCAAAAUACCUACAAGAGAGGUGUUAAGAGCCCCAAGCGUGUUCGCCAUUGAGGUCAGCUUGGUGUUGGUGUCGAUCUGCGUGGCCUCCAAUUGGCCAAGGCGUUCGUUGGUAACUCGAACAUCCUCAUCAAGGUGUUCAGCAUGCACCCUUACUUGGCGUUCAAAGUGUUGAAUGAUGCCCCUUGUUCGAGGUGAAUGAACUUGUCCAUCAUCCUCAUUUUCUGCCAUGGUUAGACAAGGGAAAAAAUGUCCUACCAACUAGUGGAACUAGGUGACAGCAAACUCCAUUCUCUCAAUCUUGUUCCAUCAAGUUCUUACAUGUUCUUACCACGCUAGGAAGUUGGUGUUGGCAGCCGGCAAGAACAGCACAAAAUGUUACACAAGCACAGCCCUGUGACAAAGUAGAUAAUUUGUGGAGCUAUAGGUCGCUGCAAGAAAAAAAAAUCAAGGAAUAGCUAGAACCACGUUAGCCAAAGCAAGUUGAAUAAAUGUUCACAAUGGUACUGUGCUGGUCCUAGGCUAAACCAUAUUAGAGACGUGAGCCUAGACACAAACGUAAUCACCCAACAGCGGCAAACAAGGCAUACAAAGAGAGUAAUGCAGCAACAAGAACUCUUUUUCUUCCUUUCUUCUUUUCCUUCUUGUUUCUUCCUCUUUUUUUUUCUUUUUUUUUCUUUUCUUUUUAGAGGCCUCAAAUGUUAUGUUUGGCACAAAGAAACAAAACAAUUACUUCACAUAGCCCUCCUUGCUUUUAGAUGCACAGAUUACACAGCAGAUAUGCGGAAAUCUCCAUAGCGUUUGCAAGGCGCUCAGAAAGAAUUUGGUGGCAAGGUUAAUUUUCUCUGAAAGAGCACAAAGUAACCUUUCUAGAAUGUAUCUAAACACUUGAAUCGGAGAUCGGAUGCAAGAAAUAGAGCUGAUUUCUUCUCGUGCAGAUCUGGAAGUGGGGAUUGCGAAAAUAGUGGGCAAAUGCAGCAGCGUGAAAAGGUGGGGGGAAAGUGGCAGCGAAUCUAAUGGUGAUAAAAACGUGAUAAGAACUCAAAACUCUAAUGGAUUAGAACUUAAGAACCAGCACUUGACACCAUGAUGCAACCACAAACUCAACAAGCCAAGAACUAGGUAGAACAACAAGGGCUCCAACUAGUUUUGUUUUUGGGAUUUCAGAUCUAGCCUAUCUAUCUUUUUGGGUAUUUUUGGACUGUAGGUAAAGUAAAGAAUAGGUAGUUACUCUCACCGAUUAACCUUGCUCUGAUUACCACAUGAUAUGGCAGGGGCUGUUCCCAAUCUUUCGAUGAGAGGAGGGGUAACUUCGAUUUGGGGGUGGAAUCAACGUUGGCUGUCCGACUACAACAAUCACAGGAUGCUGCGCCUUAGCAACAGGUACACCGAUUCCGACGUUGGCUAUUCUUGCCGGGCCAAGAACACCCUUGAACCUGCUAGCAAUCGAGAACAAGCAAGAACAAGAUGAACAAGCAAAUAAACCCACGGAUCUGAAACAAAUGAAACCUGAAUCACGAGUUGGGGUCUUGAAUUAAGCAAAUCGGGUGGUCUAGUCGACACACGCGUUCACUAGAAAGUAGCAGUAGCUAACUUGCAUCUAAAACAAAACCCAAGUUCAUCCUGGUGGCUACUAGAUGUAUUUAUACAUGGGCAACAGCAAGGAGGCGUGGUAGGGUGUAAACCCUAAGCUGGAAAGGGCCCCUAGUGGGCUGCACGAGAUAUAAGGGUUUCAGCCCAAGACUGGAAGGCCGAACGUCUCUUUGUCAAUUCUGCUCAGCUCCGGUGGAAUUUCAUCAUGAGGUUGGAUCCAUCUGAAAGUGAACUUUAAGAUCUUUCCAAUGAGUACUCAUAUGCCUCAAACAACAUCCGGAGUUGAGAAAUAUUGCCACGUCAAUUUGAU
rnacentral:lncRNA from 1 species